CUCUGCAUACUCGGGCGCGCUCUGACGGGGCGACGGGAGAAGCUCUCGGCCCCCCCCCCAAAGGCGGCGCGUGCCCCGGGACCGCCAUCUCGCCCUGCCCGCAGGUCGGGAGCAGCCGCCACGGCUGAGGCAUCGGAGCGCGGUCAGUGCUGGAGAACAAGGUUGGGUGUGCAAGGAGAAGGGUGGUAGGCACCUGACGGACGGGAGGAGACAUCUAACGUUGGCAAGGUAGCGGAAGCUACGCCGGGAGCUGGGGUUGGGGUUGUUCCGGAGCUGCCGGCCUUCUGGAAUAGAAGCUAUCGAGCGGUCGUUAAGGAAAGGUGCGGUGACUACAGUUAUUGCUAAUGUCCUUCUCCCCUCCUGCUCCCACCCACCCCCCCCAAAAUAUCAGUUCCACAGACGCCUCCAGCCUGAGAGGGAGCUCGUAUUUUCUAGGUACUGAGCACGCAGCAAUCCGCCGGCCCGCGGCCAUUUCAGCUGAAUGAACAGUCGAGGUCCUCACGACAUGCAGAAACACCUCCAUGCCUGAAGUUGCCCCUUACAUCCCCUCCAAGAAGAGCCUUAGUGUUCAUCUAAUCCCUGGAGACAGUAAUAUCGAGAUAGGUCAGCUUUGUCUAGCGUGCAUUAGGACAGACAGCACUGCGCACGGGGGAAGCAUCCACGUUCAAUAGCAUCCUGUGACACACACCAGCUCCUCAUGGCUCUUCUCCUCCACCACCGCCGUCCUGGGAAGCUUUCAGCCUGCAAGCUGCCUGAAAUCCUGUCUCUUCGUGGGAGCAGGAGCAGCAAGAGCAAUCCAUUCCCUGAAGCCUAGCGGAAAGCUGGCUGUUACCACCCACAGCGUACGACGAUGGGGAGGCUUCCAGACUUGAUUGAACGUAUUUUGUUCCUGACGUCUGUGAUUUCUAGAAGUGUGUGUAUCAGGUACAGCACCGGCUCGUACCAUUACAGAGAUCAGAGCCUUCAGUCCAUUGUAAGCCACUUCGGUUUCAACCUCUGGAGCAGCGGCCGUCCCACUCCCCGCUGUCACAUCAGCCACCAUGCAGGCUGGACGGAACGCAGCUCUUCACCAUGGGGUUCAUUUCAUGGAGCAAAUGAGAGCCACGUAGCACUGUUACCCUCCUAGCCUGCACGUCCAGAUGUUACAGAGCCCUAGCUCCUCGCAGAUCAGCUCUGCUAUAAGCAGUAACCACACAGCAGGCAUUUUCAUGGGAUCUAUCUACAUUCCCUUCUCCCCACAUACAAAAAGGAUGUAUUUGAAGUUUUUUCCUCAAGCCAGCAGAAAACACUAGCCAAGCUUUAACAGGUGCAAUACACAAACCAGGUCAUUGGACUCCACUGGCUCCCAGGCCAUGGCAAGCAGAAAGGCUGGGCAUCCCAGAGUCCCGUUUGCUUGGCAGUGGUAGAAACACAGAACGAGAAGCUAAGCUUGUCAAACCCUAACCACUAAAGUUGCAGGAAUUCAGUAAAAUUCCUUUUCAAACACUUAGCUACCUCUCUCAGUUAAAACAAACUAAACAGUUAAA
rnacentral:lncRNA from 1 species